rnacentral:rRNA from 1 species
GAUGAACGCUGGCGGUAUGCUUAACACAUGCAAGUCGAACGGUACCUUCGGGUAUAGUGGCGGACGGGUGAGUAACGCGUGAGAAUCUAUCUUCAGGUCGGGGACAACAGUUAGAAAUGACUGCUAAUACCGGAUGUGCCGAAAGGUAAAAGAUUUAUUGCCUGAAAAAGAGCUCGCGUCAGAUUAGCUAGUAGGUGGUGUAAGAGACUACCUAGGCUUCGAUCUGUAGCUGGUCUGAGAGGACGAUCAGCCACACUGGAACUGAGACACGGUCCAGACUCCUACGGGAGGGAGAAGUGGGGAAUUUUCCGCAAUGGGCGAAAGCCUGACGGAGCAAUACCGCGUGAGGGACGAAGGCUCUUGGGUCGUAAACCUCUUUUCUCAAGGAAGAUUCAGACGGUACUUGAGGAAUAAGCAUCGGCUAACUCUGUG